rnacentral:rRNA from 1 species
UAAAAGUCGUAACAAGGUUUCCGUAGGUGAACCUGCGGAAGGAUCAUUAUUGUACCAACCGAGACGCAAGGGCUGUCGCCGACCGCAAGGUCGUGCACGCCCGAGCGCUCUCACCCUCAUCCACUUCACACUUGUGCAUCACCGCGUGGUGCCUCCUUUUCAAAGGGGCUCACGUUUUCCACACAAACACCCCCUUUAAGAGAGUUUAGAAUGUCUUUGCGGAUAACACGCAAUCAAUACAACUUUCAACAAUGGAUCUCUUGGCUCUCGCAUCGAUGAAGAACGCAGCGAAAUGCGAUACGUAAUGUGAAUUGCAGAAUUCAGUGAAUCAUCGAAUCUUUGAACGCACCUUGCGCCCCUUGGCAUUCCGAGGGGCACACCCGUUUGAGUGUCGUGACAUCCUCAAAACCUUCUCGGUUUAUUGACCGGAGAAGGGUUUGGACUUUGGAGGCAUCAUGCCGGCUUUGUUCGAAGCCGGCUCCUCUUAAAUGGAUUAGUGGGGUCCCGUUUGCAGCUCCCUUGGCGUGAUAAGAUGCUUUCUACGUCUUGGGACAGGCUCUUGUGACCUGCUUCUAACGGUCUCAUCAGAGACAUUGAUCGGGUUUGCCGCCUUCCGUGGGUGGUAAGCUUGGCCCAGAAACCUUGACCUCAAAUCGGGUGAGACUACCCGCUGAACUUAAGCNNNNNNNNNNNCGGAGGAAAAGAAACUAACGAGGAUUCCCCUAGUAACUGCGAGUGAAGCGGGAAAAGCUCAAAUUUAAAAUCUGGUGGUCUUUGGCCAUCCGAGUUGUAAUUUAGAGAAGCGUCCAUCCGCGCCGGACCGUGCACAAGUCUCCUGGAAUGGAGCAUCAUAGAGGGUGAGAAUCCCGUCUUUGGCAUGGACCCCCGGGGCUUUUGUGAUGCGCUCUCAAAGAGUCGAGUUGUUUGGGAAUGCAGCUCAAAAUGGGUGGUGAACUCCAUCUAAAGCUAAAUACAGGCGAGAGACCGAUAGCGAACAAGUACCGUGAGGGAAAGAUGAAAAGCACUUUGGAAAGAGAGUGAAACAGUACGUGAAAUUGUUGAAAGGGAAACGCUUGAAGUCAGUCGCGUCGGCCGAGACUCAGCCUUGCCCAGGCUUGGCGUACUUCUCGGUCGACGGGUCAGCGUYGAUUUUGCCCCUCGGAUAAUGGCAGAGGGAAGGUGGCACCCUUCCCGGGUGUGUUAUAGCCCUCUGUCGGAUGCGAGGGUCAGGAUCGAGGAACUCAGCACGCGCCUCUUGGCGGUCGGGGCUUCGGCUCACGCUACGUGCUUAGGAUGCUGGCGUAAUGGCUUUAAACGACCCGUCUUGAAACACGGACCAAGGAGUCUAACAUGCACGCGAGUGUUCGGGUGGAAAACCCGUGCGCGUAAUGAAAGUGAAAGUUGGGACCCCUGUCGUGGGGGGCACCGAUGCCCGGACCAGACCUUCUGUGACGGAUCUGCGGUAGAGCGUGCAUGUUGGGACCCGAAAGAUGGUGAACUAUGCCUGAGUAGGGUGAAGCCAGAGGAAACUCUGGUGGAGGCUCGUAGCGAUUCUGACGUGCAAAUCGAUCGUCAAAUUUGGGUAUAGGGGCGAAAGACUAAUCGAACCAUCUAGUAGCUGUCC